rfam:Ancylostoma duodenale strain Zhejiang A_duodenale-1.0_Cont245476.1, whole genome shotgun sequence.
GCCUCAUUGGCUUAGUGGCAGAGCGUCUGUCUCGUAAACAGAAGGU